rnacentral:rRNA from 1 species
UACGUAGGUGGCAAGCGUUGUCCGGAAUUAUUGGGCGUAAAGCGCGCGCAGGCGGCCUUUUAAGUCUGAUGUGAAAGCCCACGGCUCAACCGUGGAAGGUCAUUGGAAACUGAAAGGCUUGAGUACAGAAGAGGAAAGCGGAAUUCCACGUGUAGCGGUGAAAUGCGUAGAGAUGUGGAGGAACACCUGAGGCGAAGGCGGCUUGCUGGGCAUGAUCUGACGCUGAGGCGCGAAAGCGUGGGGAGCGAACAGG